UACGUAGGGUGCGAGCGUUAAUCGGAAUUACUGGGCGUAAAGCGUGCGUAGGCGGUUCGCUGUGUCCGAUGUGAAAGCCCCCGGGCUUAACCUGGGAAUGGCAUUGGAAACUGGCGGGCUUGAGUGCGGCAGAGGGGUGGAAUUCCGCGGUGUAGCAGUGAAAUGCGUAGAGAUGCGGAGGAACACCGAUGGCGAAGGCAGCCUGGUCGACACUGACGCUCAGGCACGAAGCGUGGAGCAAACAGG
rnacentral:rRNA from 1 species